rnacentral:rRNA from 1 species
UACGGGGGGGGCAAGCGUUGUUCGGAAUUACUGGGCGUAAAGGGCGCGUAGGCGGUUCGCUAAGUCGGAUGUGAAAACUCUGGGCUCAACCCAGAGCCUGCAUCCGAAACUGGCGGGCUAGAGUUCUGGAGGGGGUAGCGGAAUUCCUGGUGUAGCGGUGAAAUGCGUAGAUAUCAGGAGGAACACCGGUGGCGAAGGCGGGUCUCUGGGCCGACAUUGACGCUGAGGAGCGAAAGCGUGGGGAGCGAACAGG